GAAAGACUGAUCUGGAAAAUGCACUUGAGGCAUCCGUCAACUUCAGUCUUGCCAUCUGCUGGGAAAGUUAACUGUACAGGGUUUUCUUGAAUAAAUCUGCUGGUAUAACUGAAUUCAUGAAACACUGAGUCAGAAUGAACUGCUUUUCUUGCUCCAAGAAUAAUGACUUACUAGGGGUAACAAACUUCUUGAGAUUUACCUGGUCACUGCAAUGCAAACAAUUCACCAUGAAGAGGAAGUGACUCAGAUUGCCUCAGGGCUGAGAAUUAUCCCAAAAGUGUGCACCAAACUGUGGCCUUGAGGCAAUACAGUGGAGCCAACAAGUCAGGUUUCCCAGCUGUCAUUGCUGAUCCUGGGCGUCUGCUGGGCUACAUACUUUGUUUCCUUCUCAAAAGCCAGGCCAAGGGAUACAGUCACAGAGACAACUUGUACAAACUAUCCCACUUUGCCAUUCGGAAUGCUUCUGAACCCAGCUGCUGUGAAAUGCUCCCAUUUUCCAGCAUUUACACAUACCAGACUGUGCACAGUCCUAGAGGAAAUCUGUGAUAGGAACAGGAAUAUAUUGCAAGUUUUUCAGGUGAACGGUCUGUUAUCGGUUGAGAAAUUCUGCUGCAGAAAGGAGGUGUAUCAAAGGCAAUAUAGCCAGCUUUACACCACUGCUCAAGCCCAUAGCUGUGCUCUGAAAAUCCCUGUCUGCCUGCCUCAUUCCUCUCAGAGCAAACAGAAUACUCUAAAUUGUUUCUUUUAAGAAACGUGCUGAUUCUCACCGGUCUCAGAUUCAGAGUUUAAUUUCUAGAUGAGUUUUGUUGUACUUUCAGGUCCCCAGGUAGUUGACCUAUUUCUUCUGUCUCCUGGGCUUAUUCUUUAUUUCAAAUAAUUUUCUUUCCAUAAUGU